rnacentral:rRNA from 1 species
CUACACAUGCAAGUCGUACGAGAAAGUCGGCUUCGGCCGAUGAGUACAGUGGCGCACGGGUGAGUAACGCGUGGGUAAUCUGCCCCCCGGUCAGGAAUAACCCGCCGAAAGGCGGGCUAAUACCCGAUAACACUGACGCUCUGCGGAGUGUCUUUCAAAGAAGGCCUCUGUUUACAAGCUUUCGCCGGAGGAUGAGCCCGCGUACCAUUAGCUAGUUGGCAGGGUAAUGGCCUACCAAGGCAACGAUGGUUAGCUGGUCUGAGAGGAUGGCCAGCCACACUGGAACUGAGACACGGUCCAGACUCCUACGGGAGGCAGCAGUGAGGAAUCUUGCGCAAUGGGGGAAACCCUGACGCAGCAACGCCGCGUGAGUGAGGAAGGCCUUCGGGUCGUAAAGCUCUGUCAGAUGGGAAGAAAUGGGUGGGGGCUAAUAUCGUCCACCCUUGACGGUACCAUCAGAGGAAGCACCGGCUAACUCCGUGCCAGCAGCCGCGGUAAUACGGAGGGUGCAAGCGUUGUUCGGAAUUAUUGGGCGUAAAGGGCGCGCAGGCGGUUGUGAUAGUCAUAUGUGAAAUCCUCCGGCUCAACUGGAGAACUGCAUCUGAGACUUCACAACUAGAGUACAGGAGAG